GGAAGUAAAAGUCGUAACAAGGUUUCCGUAGGUGAACCUGCGGAAGGAUCAUUACUGAUUUAGCGAACCGAGCGUUAGCGAGGUUUUGCGAUCAACUUGUAUUUAAAACCCACUCUUCAAUGUAUAAAAUUUGUAUUAAUGAUAAAUUAAAAGAUCGCUUUCAACAACGGAUCUCUGGGCUCUCGCAUCGAUGAAGAACGUAGCGAAGUGCGAUAAGUAAUGUGAAUUGCAGUAUUCCGUGAAUCAUCGAACCUUUGAACGCAUAUUGCACUUUCUGGUAUUCCGGAAAGUAUGCCUGUUUGAGGGUCAGUUAAAUAAAAAUCGGUGUUGUUGCCGCUUUCCGUGGUGACGCGUCGGAAUUGAGUCGUCUUCGGUUAAGUGACUUAAAAUUUUAUAUGAUUUUCGAACGUAUUUAAAUUUAUUUGAACGUUUGAUAUCGAAUGCUUAUUAGGUUCGGUCAUCCUCAUGACUCGCGCCUAUAAUUUUUCAUUAAAUGACCUCAAAUCAGGUAAGAAUACCCGCUGAACUUAAGCAUAUCAAUAAGCGGAGGA
rnacentral:rRNA from 1 species